rnacentral:tRNA from 1 species
GCCCCUGUAGCUCAAUUGGCAGAGCACCCGCCUUGUAAGCGGAAGGUUGACCGUUCAAGUCGGUUCGGGGGCU